rnacentral:sRNA from 2 species
AAGAUCCAGUCGCCAAAUCCCUCUUCGGGGGGAGCGGGCAGACCGAACUGGUCGGUGAAUCUCGCUUCGGCGGGUAGGGCAAGCCUUUCAGCCCGAACCGGUAGCUAAGCCCGCAGGCGUAGAAAGGCCUC